rnacentral:rRNA from 1 species
GAUACUGAAGAGCUUUGAAUACAUUAGAGGUAGGCGGAAUGUGACAAGUAGCGGUGAAAUGCAUAGAUAUGUCACAGAACACCGAUUGCGAUGGCAGCUUACUAUGAUGAGAUUGACGCUGAGGCACGAAAGCGUGGGGAUCAAACAGGAUUAGAUACCCUGGUAGUCCACGCCCUAAACGAUGAAUACUCGCUGUUAGCGAUACACAGUUAGCGGCUAAGCGAAAGCGUUAAGUAUUCCACCUGGGGAGUACGGUCGCAAGAUUGAAACUCAAAGGAAUUGACGGGGGCCCGCACAAGCGGAGGAGCAUGUGGUUUAAUUCGAUGAUACGCGAGGAACCUUACCCGGGCUUGAAAGUUAGUGAAUCAUUUAGAGAUAGAUGAGUGAGCAAUCACACGAAACUAGGUGCUGCAUGGCUGUCGUCAGCUCGUGCCGUGAGGUGUUGGGUUAAGUCCCGCAACGAGCGCAACCCCUAUGUUUAGUUGCCAGCACGUUAAGGUGGGGACCCUAAACAGACUGCCUGUGCAAACAGAGAGGAAGGAGGGGACGACGUCAAGUCAUCAUGGCCCUUACGUCCGGGGCUACACACGUGCUACAAUGGAUGGUACAGAGGGCAGCAAGCUGGCAACAGCAAGCGAAUCUCCAAAAGCCAUUCACAGUUCGGAUAGAGGUCUGCAACUCGACCUCUUGAAGUUGGAUUCGCUAGUAAUCGCGUAUCAGCAAUGAUGCGGUGAAUACGUUCCCGGGCCUUGUACAC